rnacentral:rRNA from 1 species
AGCGAACGCUGGCGGCAGGCCUAACACAUGCAAGUCGAACGAACUCUUCGGAGUUAGCGGCGGACGGGUGAGUAACACGUGGGAACGUGCCUUUAGGUUCGGAAUAACUCAGGGAAACUUGUGCUAAUACCGAAUGUGCCCUUCGGGGGAAAGAUUUAUCGCCUUUAGAGCGGCCCGCGUCUGAUUAGCUAGUUGGUAGUGUAAUGGACUACCAAGGCUACGAUCAGUAGCUGGUCUGAGAGGACGAUCAGCCACAUUGGGACUGAGACACGGCCCAAACUCCUACGGGAGGCAGCAGUGGGGAAUCUUGCGCAAUGGGCGAAAGCCUGACGCAGCCAUGCCGCGUGAAUGAUGAAGGUCUUAGGAUUGUAAAAUUCUUUCACCGGGGACGAUAAUGACGGUACCCGGAGAAGAAGCCCCGGCUAACUUCGUGCCAGCCGCCGCGGUAAGAC